AACCAGUGAGGAACUCUUGCCUGCACC
rnacentral:piRNA from 1 species